UACGGGGGGGGCAAGCGUUGUUCGGAAUUACUGGGCGUAAAGGGCUCGUAGGCGGCCAACUAAGUCAUACGUGAAAUCCCUCGGCUUAACCGGGGAACUGCGUCUGAUACUGGAUGGCUUGAGUUCGGGAGAGGGAUGCGGAAUUCCAGGUGUAGCGGUGAAAUGCGUAGAUAUCAGGAGGAACACCGGUGGCGAAGGCGGCCCUCUGGACGGUGACUGACGCUGAGACGCGAAAGCGUGGGGAGCAAACAGG
rnacentral:rRNA from 1 species